UGCCUGCCUCCACCUUCAUAUGUAGCUGACACAUCAGUGGCGUAUAUUUUCUUAUCUACCUCUGGGAAUUUCUAAUCAACCAGAUUUUAAGCUUCAUGGAUUUCACUCAGUGAGUGUUAGAUAAGCUGAAGUUCACUGUCCUUUACAUUAAUCCUCAACCGCUUCAAUUGAUCCAUUUUAAAGGUUUCCUCUACCCUUGGCAGCGCUGUCAAACCACACCCUCGGGCAUCAUCUCUUCACCUCCAUCCCCUUCCUUGCAUGCUCAGUAUAACUUAUCUGGAUAAUUUGUGUUCUGCACACUGCUGUGUAAUGCUUAAACACUCAAAGCUCCUCACUGAGAACUUUUCACCCUCUCCUCUGGGUGUAGGCUUUAAAAACUCAAGAACUUGCAUGAAACCCAUAAUGUCAAAACUUCAGUGCAGCCUAACGGCCCUUUGAGCCACUGCAUCAAACUUCUUCAGAGUCUAUUUUGUUCUGUGUCAAAACUUUUCAAUCUCUACUUCAGAGGCUUGUUUUCAAAUGUCCCAGUCCUGGAGUGGAAAAAGAGGCCUAAACCAUUAGCCCAGAACUCAGAACUUUAAUAACAAGUUUUAAGCCCAAUUUCAGUCUUUAAUAACUCCAUAACUUUCUCAUUAUUACAAACAAUGACUUCAACAUACUGUAAGUCAAUGUAAAACUCGCAGAGCCACAGGGAGCAAGACCCUGAAGUUUAGAGUUUUUCCUGUAGAAGUUUGCGCUCCAUAUCCUUGGAGUUGGUGGCCUGACUUUUUUACUGAAUUAAGGUCCUAUGUAUUUCUGCAAAACAAAAGAGACUAUUUAUGUCAAUGAUAUUUCAGGAAAGACUAAAAACUCUUGUUGUCUUGCUUUUAUUUUGAAGUUGCCCACAGGUCGGAUACUUACAGUGAAUUAUCUGUCUUGUGUCUGGUGAUACGGUGAAUUUUCAUUGGAGAAAAGCUUUCAUGAAUCAUGCUGGCUGCAGAUAAGCAAGGCUGAUUAUUUAUUAACAUCAUGUCACAGUAAAUGUUCCCUUAUUGUGAAAAUGUAAGUUUUAGUCGCUGUUAUAUGUGUAUUUCUCAAGUCACAGUACAUAUUCACAGUACUAUGAUCAUUUAAUCUGACAGUGACCACAAUAACAAACAAAAAAGUCAUUGUUGAACCCAGCAUUAGUGUUUUCUACUGCAAAAUGCCACAGGUGUUUGCUAACAUGUACACUUCGCUCCUUAAACUUGGUAUGGUCUUGUUCUGUGUGAGUGACUUGGUGCAUUACUAGGCUGAGAUGACUCAGCUUACAGUCCUAUAGUGAAAUCAUUGCCCUCCAUUUAAUUCUUUUUAGGAAAAGUUCAAUCCUCCUUUGAUCCCAAACACAAGUAAGCAGAAAAACAAACUAUGGAGGAACCUAGAAAUCCAUGUGUUCAUAUUUCAAGCAUUUUCCAUGUCUUAAUUUACCUUCACCUCGAUAUCUCCAAACAUGAAUUUUCCUCCAAAUACUGUGUACAAAAAGUCAGUCGGCAAACUCAGAGAGGGCAAGUUCAAAGCACUUUUAAUCGCAUUAAAAGUUUCCAUACAGUCAUUUACAAGUCUAAGCAUUUCCAUUGUUAAAUUGCCAUUUUCACUGUUAUCUUCUCCUUGCAGUGUCAUCGUGAAUUAAACAGCAAACACAGACCAUGAACACAAAGCCUAUUUCCUUCCUGACAAACCAAUACAAAUUUCAAAUCCAUGGUUAAUUAUGUGUUAACAGAACAAGAAGAAUCCAUUUUCCAGACCUUCCGGCCCUUAUUGUUACAUAAAUUGGUAAAAAAAAAAAGAAAAAAAAAAGAAAUAAGUUUCUCGCUUUAUUCAGUGCCAAUCAUCUGAGGAUAUCUUCACAUAAAAUAAGACUCAAAAAGUCCUCCUCGAAGUAGAGGAACUCUUCAUCUCUGGUUCUGAUCUCAACACAAAGGCUUGCCGUGCCUCAUGUUAUUGGCACAGGUUCGGCCCAGGUUAGCUCCCUCCAGGAGCAGAUCGGAGAGUCUAUCCAGGCCGAGGCAGGUGGUGAGUGGGCUGACGAGGCCAUAGAGCCCCCCUAAGGUGAUUGCAAGGGGCCAGCCGAUACAAAGUAGAACCACCAGCCAGAUGAUGCACCAGAAACAGGACCCGCAGCUGGCCAUCCUAGACUGAGGAGGAAGACGGGAAAAUUGGAGUUCCUUAUAGAGGCACACAUCAGCAUGCUUUGCAAAGCCAAAAACAGUUAUUAUCAGACCUGUCGCUGCAUGGAAGGAGAGUUUGUCAGCUCCUACAAUAACAUGAGAGUGACUUCUUUCAAACGCUCAAGACUCCUCAGCGAUGAUGUGAGAUUAUCAGAUUGAAACAUGCCUCGUUGAUGAUCUGGAUGUACUUGUCAGGAUUAGGCAUUGGCCUUUACAAAGCAUGAUAAGCUGGCAAACCCAAGCAGCAUCCACCAGGCCCAUCCGCCAGCGUGCCACCCACUUACACACAGCGUUGAAGACCGGCAGUAGCACAUUAGUCACACACUUAUAGCAGAUCAGCUGAGAUCAUGCUGAACUUCGGUAAUGAGCAUUACCUCAUCUGUCAUCGUGGAAUAGCAAACAGCAGCCAGGAGUAUCAUGUGCUGCUAUUUCAAGCUUUCAAACCAUGAUUAAAAACUGCUAAUUGGAAUCUUUCUCGUAACCUUCCCUACCUGAUGAUUUUAGGCUGCAUUAAAGGAGAUAAAUUUAAUUUUUCCAAGAAAUAUUAAGAGGUGCUUUUUUGUGUGUGAGUGUGAGUGGGUUAAAAUCCCCCAGAAAAAUCUGCCCUGAAGCUCAGCCUUGAAGUCGAGAUUGUAGAACUGAUGGUUUUAGUGAGUGUGAAAGUGUUGUUUCCUGUCAGAUCCCUUAAACCUGUUUUAGCUUCAAGAAUCCCCAUUCAGAUCCUCCCCCCUCCCCCUGCAGGCACUUCUGUCUCAGCUCCACAUAAUGUGUGAUUUCCUGUUGUGACACUGCUGUCACUUAAGGUUGGGCAAUAAAUUACACAUUCAACAAGAGCGUGUCCCCACGGUGGAUCCCGUGCUUUUGGGGAACGCCUUUUGGAUUGAAAAGAAAAAGAAAAAAAAGAAAACACAUCAACCAGACUCUGGUCUCUCCUAAAGCCUGAAACCUUUCAUAAAACAUGUCCAUUCUUCUACAACUUUAUCACAUUUUGCUUUUGCUCUAAAAUUAUAAAGUGAGCUGCUAAAGAGACGAUUCAAAUUGCAAGCAAAUACACAGCAAGCUUAAACACUUGUGAUCAUCACCACAGGUACAUUAACAGUUUUACUGCAUGCUGUUAGUCUGUGUGACAUCAGCAGAGGUUAAAAGAGGAGGUAGCUAUUAACCUAAUGAAUACCUGUCGUGUGAGUAUAAAAGACAUGAUCACCUUCUGCAGAGUGAGGUUGUGGAGGAAGCGUGCUCCUGAUCUCCUGCUUGCUCGUAGCUUUUCCUCCCGGUCUCCCAGGUCCUGCUUGUGAUUUCCAGAAAUGUUGCGCGAACAGCAGUAGCCACUUCCCACCAGUUAGCUCUAAUUGACUAAAACAAGGCACCACAGGCAACUGGAUUCUCGAGAGGCCAGCUGGGAGAAAACAGAAAGUUAGUGACUGGGAGGCUUCUGGGAAGGCGGGAGGAUAUUACACAAUGCAGACAUUCAUGUGACUCAAGGAAGUAUGCUUGCUGUCAUGGGUUUUAGGAGGAUUAAGAAGCGAAACCCAUGAAAGAAUAACAUGUUUAACCCUCUGGGGUCCUUAAAAAAAGUUACACUUAGGUCCUUAGUGUCCAUCUCCUUAGUACAUCUCACUCUUAGGAGAUGGACAAUUUUUGUCAAUUUUAGGACAUAAGUGUAACUUUUUCAGAAAUCGGACAAUACAUCAAACAUAAUAAUGCAUCAAAAUUAAUAUUGUUAAUUAUUGGCACAUUAUAGACCUUGAUAAAACAACACAGAGAUUCCUGCCCAGCAUCUAAUAUAUGGAAAAUAACUCCAAAUUUCUUUUUUUCUCAUUCAAAAUAACAGUGACAUCAUAUAGUCAAACUGGCAUUUAAAGGGUUAAUAUUCUGAAAAUGAAUUAAUAUUUGAUAGAUAUGAUCAGAAAUGAAGUUGAUUAAAAGAUUUAAGCAAAAGAAAGUGGAAAAAUAUUAAUGUAUAAUAUUUUUAUAGUACUUUUAGGAGAUUGACAUUUUUGUCCAUCUAAAGACCUAAAUGUAUAGUGUUUUUGUCACACAGUGAAUAUUGACCUGAUAUAAUAAUGGCUGGUCAGGUUUGUAAAAUUUGAAAAGAAAAAAUAACCCUGAAAAAAUCAUCCCAUUUGCAUUAACACAGUCAAAAUGAUCAACAAAUAAAAAGGUAAAAAGUCACAAAAAAUGGACAAAAAUGUCCUAAGAGCCCCUGAAGGUUUAGUGCUGUGAAAUCUUUCUCCACACUAUACAGUUUAUUGAUGUAUUUUUUUUUUGCCUUCUAUGUGAAACAUCAGUCUAAUACACGGACACAGAUCUACCCGGCAGAGAUUAUCUCUCUUAUCCAACCUCAUAUUCUAAUCCUUUUCUCAGCCGACACAGCCGUCUACUACAAAACACACUCAUGCUAACCCCGACC